AUGAACGCUAGCUACAGGCUUAACACAUGCAAGUCGAGGGGCAGCAUGGUCUUAGCUUGCUAAGGCCGAUGGCGACCGGCGCACGGGUGAGUAACACGUAUCCAACCUGCCGUCUACUCUUGGACAGCCUUCUGAAAGGAAUAUUAAUACAAGAUGGCAUCAUGAGUCCGCAUGUUCACAUGAUUAAAGGUAUUCCGGUAGACGAUGGGGAUGCGUUCCAUUAGAUAGUAGGCGGGGUAACGGCCCACCUAGUCUUCGAUGGAUAGGGGUUCUGAGAGGAAGGUCCCCCACAUUGGAACUGAGACACGGUCCAAACUCCUACGGGAGGCAGCAGUGAGGAAUAUUGGUCAAUGGGCGAGAGCCUGAACCAGCCAAGUAGCGUGAAGGAUGACUGCCCUAUGGGUUGUAAACUUCUUUUAUAAAGGAAUAAAGUCGGGUAUGCAUACCCGUUUGCAUGUACUUUAUGAAUAAGGAUCGGCUAACUCCGUGCCAGCAGCCGCGGUAAUACGGAGGAUCCGAGCGUUAUCCGGAUUUAUUGGGUUUAAAGGGAGCGUAGAUGGAUGUUUAAGUCAGUUGUGAAAGUUUGCGGCUCAACCGUAAAAUUGCAGUUGAUACUGGAUAUCUUGAGUGCAGUUGAGGCAGGCGGAAUUCGUGGUGUAGCGGUGAAAUGCUAGAUAUCACGAAGAACUCCGAUUGCGAAGGCAGCCUGCUAAGCUGCAACUGACAUUGAGGCUCGAAAGUGUGGGUAUCAAACAGGAUUAGAUACCCUGGUAGUCCACACGGUAAACGAUGAAUACUCGCUGUUUGCGAUAUACAGCAAGCGGCCAAGCGAAAGCGUUGAGUAUUCCACCUGGGGAGUACGCCGGCAACGGUGAAACUCAAAGGAAUUGACGGGGGCCCGCACAAGCGGAGGAACAUGUGGUUUAAUUCGAUGAUACGCGAGGAACCUUACCCGGGCUUAAAUUGCAGAUGAAUUACGGUGAAAGCCGUAAGCCGCAAGGCAUCUGUGAAGGUGCUGCAUGGUUGUCGUCAGCUCGUGUCGUGAGAUGUUGGGUUAAGUCCCGCAACGAGCGCAACCCUUAUCUUUAGUAGCCAGCAUUUCGGAUGGGCACUCUAGAGAGACUGCCAGGGAUAACCUGGAGGAAGGUGGGGAUGACGUCAAAUCAUCAUGCCCCUUAUGAUUUGGGCUACACACGUGCUACAAUGGCGUAAACAAAGGGAAGCGAGCCUGCGAAGGUAAGCAAAUCCCAAAAAUAACGUCCCAGUUCGGACUGCAGUCUGCAACUCGACUGCACGAAGAUGGAAUCGCUAGUAAUCGCGAAUCAGCAUGUCGCGGUGAAUACGUUCUCGGGCCUUGUACACACCGCCCGUCACACCAUGAGAGUCGGUAACACCCGAAGCCGGUGGCCUAACCGCAAGGAAGGAGCUGUCUAAGGUGGGACUGAUGAUUGGGGUG
rnacentral:rRNA from 1 species